AUUGUAUUGUAAUUGUAAUGUGUCCAUUAAAAAAAAAAAAAACCAAAAAAAAAAAAAAAAUCUGUUCUUAUAAGUUUAAUAUCUGAUACGUCCCCCAUAGUGGGACCGUCUAUAUUAAAUGGAUUUUAGGAAGCGGGAGAUGGAAGCGGGGCUUGCUCCGUCCACGCCACGCAUCGACCCGGCAAAAAAA